rnacentral:rRNA from 1 species
AAUCGCACCUUUGCACCCUUUGGGCAUUCCGAAGGGUAUGCUCGUUUGAGUGUCAUUGUACUCUCACACUCUCCGAUCCUUUGGAUUUGGGGAGCGGUGGACUUGGGUGUUUGCUGCUUUCCUUGUGGCUCACCUCAAAUGCGUCAGUGCACCUCUUGGUUGGACAUAGUACGGCGUGAUAAGUGUCUUCGCCGGCACCUCGCAAGAGGGUGGCCGAUCGAGAGCUCUGUGCUUUCAAACCGUCUGUCUUCAGACAAUCUCUGACAACUUGACCUCAAAUCGAGUAGGACUACCCGCUGAACUUAA